GUGCGAAAUACGGGCCUGAUGCCGCUUGUCUGUGCAAACACUAAAAUUUAAGGUAGGGAGCAUGGGGAGAGUGAGCCCCGUUAAGUUGGCGCCCUCAAUCGAGCACUCACGACAUGGCUGUGAUGUUGCAAUCGACCCAAGCCAGAUGUUGCAGCUCCGCCGUGGCCUCACUGCCAACACCCUGCCCGAGUCCUGCGGUCUCCCGCUGGCACUCUCUG
rnacentral:RNase_MRP_RNA from 1 species